rnacentral:lncRNA from 1 species
GAGAGGAGUGGACCCCACGCAGGGAUUGGGCUGUUGGGGCCUCUGUGCCUCCCGGAACCCCACGCAUUUGGUGGUGACGUGAGGCCCAAUUGGACUUCCUGCAUGCAGAACUGAUUAGAGUUACGAGAAAGACUUUUUAAAAAAAGACCCUGAGAUGUCAGCUUUGGCAGCUGUACCUACCGGUGGAAGAACAGGCUCCUUCCCUCAAGCAUGACUGAAAACCGUUUAAAAAGAAGUGCUCUGAUUCAAUGGUUCCCAGUUACACCGAGUUAUGGAGACAUCGUCCCUGGAGCGGGGCCCGCAAGAGUCUUUCCCUCCCAUGGGGCAACGCAGUGGCUGCGGAUCCCAGCCAGCCCCGAGGGACACAAGUGUGGCCGUGGUCAGCUGCGGCUUUGCUAGAGGCCCUCCCUGCUCUCAUGAGACCCCGAGGGUGUUGGCUUUCUGCCCCCAAGACUGACAAAUGGCCAGGUGGGCCUGCAGGUGACCUCCUUCCCUCAUGGGCAGCAGGAACCAGGUGGGCCCCCACAGUGCCUGGGGCAGCUUAUGCAGCAGUUACAGAGAUCUGGAUCUGGGGUUUCUUCGGCGCGAGAUGAGAGGCCUCUGGUCCCAUCCUAGGAACCACGGCCCAGACUGUCCCUGCCUCAGAAGAGUGACAUGGACACCCACACACAGUCCCCCCAAACAGAGACACACACGCCGACAAACCUGUGCACGCUCAUGCCCACUCACACGCCACACCCCCUCCCCUGCUGGGCACCAGAUAAUGGAGCUGCGGAGCUGUGUGGCUGCAAGCCGCCCUUUCCGAGCUUCUGCUAGGUGGUGUGUUCAAACCUGCAGGCUUCGAAGAGUUCUGAGCAUCUAGAAGAGCAGAGUCCAGUAAAAAUGUAGCAAAGCCACGCAUGUAAGUUUACCUGUGCUGGCAGCCAUACUGACAAAAGGGAAAAUAAACAAAUGAGAUUAAUUUUAAUACUUUUUUAUUUAUUUAUUUAUUUUUUGAUACGGAGUUUCGCUCUUGUUGCCCCAGCUGCAGUGUAAUGGCACAAUCUCGGUUCACUGCAAACUUUAGCUCCCAGGUUCAAGCUAUUCUCCUGCCUCAGCCUCCCAAGUAGCUGGGAUUACAGGUAUGCGCCACCACGCCCAGCUAAUUUUGUAUUUUUAGUAGAGACAGGGUUUCUCCAUGCUGGUCAGGCUGGUCUCGAAUUCCCAACCUCAGGUGAUCCGCCCGCCUCGGCCUCCCAAAGUGCUGGGAUUACAGGCAUGAGCCACGGCACCCAGCCAAUACUAUUUUUAUUUAAAUCCAAUAGAGCCAUAAUAUUAUCACUUGGAUAAUCAAUACAAAGAAUUAUUAUUUUGAGGGAUGGAGUCUCGCUCUGUCACCCACGCUGGGGCACAGUGGCGCAAUCUCGGCUCACUGCAACCUCUGCCUCCCGGGUUCAAGUGAUUCUCCUGCCUCAGCCUCCCGAGUAGCUGGGAUUGCAGGCGUGUGCCACCCCAUGCCCAGCUAAUUUUUGUAUUUUUAGUAGAGAUGGGGUUUCGCCAUGUUGGCCAGGCUGGUUUCGAACUCCUGACCUCAGGUGAUCCACCUGCCUUGGCCUCCCAGAGUGCUGGAAUCACAGGCAUGACCCACCAUGCCUGGCCUAAAGAAUUAUUAAAGAGUGAUUUUACUCUCCCUUUUUUCUACUAAGUCUUUAAAAUCUAGUGUUUGUUUUACACUUAUAGACCAUCUCAAUCAGACACUAAAUUUUUAUCAGAAAUCCUUGAUUGUAUUUAGAUUUAAUAAAAUGUAGAGUAAAAAAGUAUAUUGUCACCCAAAUUGUUUCAAACAAACUUGAAAGUUUUUAAUAAUGGAAAUGGGUAUUGGUUUUAAAUUUUUAAGACAAUACAAUAAAACCCUCUGUGCCAAAUCCCCCACAGAGUCAUGGCAUUGGGGUUUCGAAGGCCUCAUUGCUGGCCCCCACCUGCAGGCAUCCCUUCUGGGUUGACAGCCACGAGAUGAGUGUUAUCAGUGUCUGUGGGAGAAGCAGGGGCUCUGAGGUUGGGCGAGCGAAGGAUCAGGUGGGCACUGCACACCGAGGGCACAAGAGCCUGGGAAGCCCCACCAUGAGGGGCGGACUUGACUGAGCCCAGGCGUCCAGGCCCUUGUGGGCACAGAGUCUCCUCCCCAGGAGGCUGUUAGCACUCGGGGGGCGGGGGGCUCUGCUCGCCCUAGACCCCUCUUCUGGACAGAUGGCAGCACCAUGCCCCUCCCAAGCCCCAUACCCCUGUGCAAGCCCUGCCUGCUGCCCGGAGGACCCAUGCAAAAGCCGUCACCGCCCACGUCCAGGCCUGGGGGUGGGGGGAAGAGCACUCAAGUGCAAGAGGCAGACCCUGUGCCCCCACCCCUCCGGUGCCUCCCUCACCCCUCCUGUGCCUCCCCUACCCUCCCGUGCCUC